GGGUGCUACCAUGCAGUCGACGCUGAAGCUCCCAGCUUGCUGGGGGUGGAUGAGUGGCGAACGGGUGAGUAACACGUGAGUAACCUGCCCCGAACUCUGGGAUAAGCGCUGGAAACGGCGUCUAAUACUGGAUAUGUCCUAUCACCGCAUGGUGUGUAGGUGGAAAGAAUUUCGGUUCGGGAUGGACUCGCGGCCUAUCAGCUAGAUGGUGAGGUAAUGGCUCACCAUGGCGACGACGGGUAGCCGGCCUGAGAGGGUGACCGGCCACACUGGGACUGAGACACGGCCCAGACUCCUACGGGAGGCAGCAGUGGGGAAUAUUGCACAAUGGGCGCAAGCCUGAUGCAGCAACGCCGCGUGAGGGAUGACGGCCUUCGGGUUGUAAACCUCUUUUAGUAGGGAAGAAGCGAAAGUGACGGUACCUGCAGAAAAAGCACCGGCUAACUACGUGCCAGCAGCCGCGGUAAUACGUAGGGUGCAAGCGUUGUCCGGAAUUAUUGGGCGUAAAGAGCUCGUAGGCGGCUUGUCGCGUCUGCUGUGAAAACCAGAGGCUCAACCUCUGGCCUGCAGUGGGUACGGGCAAGCUAGAGUGCGGUAGGGGAGAUUGGAAUUCCUGGUGUAGCGGUGGAAUGCGCAGAUAUCAGGAGGAACACCGAUGGCGAAGGCAGAUCUCUGGGCCGUAACUGACGCUGAGGAGCGAAAGCAUGGGGAGCGAACAGGAUUAGAUACCCUGGUAGUCCAUGCCGUAAACGUUGGGAACUAGAUGUAGGGCCUGUUCCACGGGUUCUGUGUCGUAGCUAACGCAUUAAGUUCCCCGCCUGGGGAGUACGGCCGCAAGGCUAGACUCAAAGGAAUUGACGGGGGCCCGCACAAGCGGCGGAGCAUGCGGAUUAAUUCGAUGCAACGCGAAGAACCUUACCAAGGCUUGACAUAUACGAGAACACUGUAGAGAUACAGGACUCUUUGGACACUCGUAAACAGGUGGUGCAUGGUGUCGUCAGCUCGUGUCGUGAGAUGUUCGGUUAAGUCCGGCAACGAGCGCAACCUCGUCCUAUGUUGCAGCACCGUAUGGUGGGACUCAUGGGAUACUGCGUGGUCCACACGGAGGAAAGGUGGGGAUGACGUCAAAUCAUUCNUGCCCCCUUAAUGUCUUUGGG
rnacentral:rRNA from 1 species